GAUGAGUGUGCAGCUAACAAAUCUCAGUCAGUUUGUGUUAUCAUAUUGAUCUCUUUGACAUUAGCCUGAUGAAAGAACAAAAUAAUCCUUUCAGUUUCAGAUUGUGGUUUGUAUGAUUUUUUUCUCUAUAGAUUAAUUUGAGAUGUGCAUUGAAAACUAGGAUGUUCUGUACCAAUUGCUAAACUGAAUUGGAGAACUGUUGUUUUUCUGCACAGAAAUGCAAAUAUCCUGGUGCUCUUUUGGGACAAGUGUUGUUUCUAUGAAGAGAAAUGCAAAUAUACUUCAAAUACACUAUAUAGGUGUACUCAUUUGCUACCUUGUGCCGUUUUGGGACAGUCACUGCAGAAGCCUUUCUGCAUGAGGCAUUCAGUUCACUAUGUUUUUUUUUUAUUUUUACUUCCUACCUUCAAAUGCAGAUGGAUUUGCUGAGAAAGGGUCACUUACUGAUAGUAAGAGCAGGAGGAGCACAAGGUAGCAACUGAUCAGCUCCUCAAAGGCCAAGGUGUCACAUGUACAUUUGUAUCUAAAUCAUUUUAUGAUUAAUGCCAUUUUUGUGCCAUUUCGUUGGUAAUCGCCACUAAAAAGAUUGGAUCUAAUAAAGGGCUGGUUUAUUAUAUGUGAAGCUCUAACCGAAAUGCGGAGUACUUUGUCGGUUAAUCUGCUGGUGUACGGCUUCUGAGGAGGUGAAGAUGCUGCAUUAGAGAUGCUUGCUGACAAGGUGCACACAAAAGUCUUUUUUUGCAAGUACUGAUACUAGGAUCUGUGUGGAAUGCAUGAACUUAGUAGUCACAUAGAUUUGAUUGUCAUUUAAAAACAUCCAUUUGUAGCCUGUAAAAUAGAUUUGUGCUUUGAACGGCCAUUUGCUUCUUUUGUAUUGCACAUCAACAUCAUACAGAGAAGGCUGAGAGGUGAUUGUAUGGACUCUUUUGUUUAAUCUCGAUGUAUGAGCUCAUAUGGUUGAAUUCUGCUGCUAUAAUUA